rnacentral:rRNA from 1 species
GUAUUAAAGGCAACGCCUGCCCAGUGAAAAUUAAACGGCCGCGGUAACCUAACCGUGCAAAGGUAGCAUAAUCAUUUGUCUAUUAAUUGUAGACCUGUAUGAAAGGCAAAAUGAGAGCCCAACUGUCUCUUUUAACAAAUCAAUUAAACUGAUCUCCUAGUACAAAAGCUAGAAUACUAACAUAAGACCAGAAGACCCUGUGAAGCUUUAACUAACCUAUUAAACCCAAUAAUAAUUACUUUCGGUUGGGGCGACCUUGGAACAAAAAAGAACUUCCAACAUAUGACUAAUCAUAAAACAAGGCAAACAAGCCACACCAGACCCAGCACAGCUGAUAACUGAAAUAAGUUACUCCAGGGAUAACAGCGCCAUCUUCUUUAAGAGCCCAUAUCAAAAAGAAGGUUUACGACCUCGAUGUUGGAUCAGGACAUCCCAGUAAUGCAACCGUUACUAAAGGUUCGUUUGUUCAACGAUUAACAGUCCCACGUGAUCUGAG